rnacentral:rRNA from 1 species
AUACCACGGAGAGUUUGAUCCUGGCUCAGGAUGAACGCUGGCGGUAUGCUUAACACAUGCAAGUCGAACGAAAGUUUGUAAGAACUUUAGUGGCGGACGGGUGAGUAACACGUGAGAAUCUACCUUUAGGAAAGGCAUAACAGUUGGAAACGACUGCUAAAGCCUUAUAUGCUGCAAAGUGAAAAAGAGAAAUCUGCCUGAAGAUGAGCUCGCGCCUGAUUAGCUAGUUGGUAAGGUAACUGCUUACCAAGGCAACGAUCAGUAGCUGGUUUGAGAGGACGACCAGCCACACUGGGACUGAGACACGGCCCAGACUCCUACGGGAGGCAGCAGUGGGGAAUUUUCCGCAAUGGGCGAAAGCCUGACGGAGCAAUACCGCGUGAGGGAUGAAGGCCCGUGGGUUGUAAACCUCUUUUCUUAGGGAAGAAGAUCUGACGGUACCUAAGGAAUAAGCAUCGGCUAACUCCGUACCAGCAGCCGCGGUAAUACGGAGAAUGCAAGCGUUAUCCGGAAUCACUGGGCGUAAAGCGUCUGUAGGUUGCUUAAUAAGUCUGCUGUUAAAGAUUGGGGCUCAACCCCAAAGCAGCAGUGGAAACUGUUAAGCUAGAGUAUGGUAAGGGUAAAGGGAAUUC